rnacentral:rRNA from 1 species
GAUGAACGCUAGCUACAGGCUUAACACAUGCAAGUCGAGGGGAAACGAUAGAGAAAGCUUGCUUUUUCUAGGCGUCGACCGGCGCACGGGUGAGUAACGCGUAUCCAACCUGCCCAACACUUGGGGAUAACCUUGCGAAAGUAAGACUAAUACCCAAUGACGUCUCUAGAAGACAUCUGAAAGAGAUUAAAGAUUUAUCGGUGAUGGAUGGGGAUGCGUCUGAUUAGCUUGUUGGCGGGGUAACGGCCCACCAAGGCGACGAUCAGUAGGGGUUCUGAGAGGAAGGUCCCCCACAUUGGAACUGAGACACGGUCCAAACUCCUACGGGAGGCAGCAGUGAGGAAUAUUGGUCAAUGGACGAGAGUCUGAACCAGCCAAGUAGCGUGCAGGAUGACGGCCCUAUGGGUUGUAAACUGCUUUUAUAAGGGAAUAAAGUGAGUCUCGUGAGACUUUUUGCAUGUACCUUAUGAAUAAGGACCGGCUAAUUCCGUGCCAGCAGCCGCCGUAA